AGUAACCUAUGGAUUUGCAGGGAGAUAGCAGGGUCCGAAAGGCGGAAGAGAGGGGCUUCUAAAGCCUUAGUCAUGCUGACUUUGGCAUUUCCUAGCUCAGGCUUCUGACCGCCAAGGCCUUGCAGGCCUUGUGCCUGCUACACUUCCCCCUCUGAAACACUCACAGAGACACUGAUUUCUCUUCUUUCAUUUUCUUUUUUUUUUUUUGUUUUGGUUUUUUUGGGUUUUUUUGUUUUUUGUUUUGUGUAUGUGCCACUUCAUUAGGCCUUUGAGUUUCCGCCUCUGGAUUCCUUUGCUUCUCAUACAUCUUCCUUAAAAAUGUGUUUUCCCAAAGUAGUUGCUAUUUUAGCUGAAAUAAGCCAGAAAUAUCUCAGUUGUAAAACUGUGGUUUAUAAUCUCAGUCUGUGGGAGGAAAUUUGGUGAAAAUCUAAGGAUAUUAAUUCAUGUUGGGCUUCCAUUCCACUGUAAACCCUGUCUGCUUUUUUUUGGCAAAACUACUUGCUAACUUCAUCCUGUAUUUAUAUAGCAGGAGAUUCACAGUAACCACAAUUUAUGAUAAUACUGAGAAAGUGGAGAGCUUAAAUAUUACAUAAUUUCAAUUAAAAAGACGAAUGAACUGUUAUAAACUUGGAUCUAAACAAGGAUAUCCGCUCUGCGGAUACAUUUUGCACUGCAAAUGUGUCAUCUGUCAGUGGUAGAGUUUAGUAGGAAAUAAAAUUUUAACAAUUCUCUGUGAACAGCAAGCAGUACUGUGUACAAGCAAGGAGGGUAGGGAGAAAAAUGGGUUCAGUGGAUCUUUCAGCUACUCUUAACUCAUUAUAACCAAAUAUGCAAGUGUUUACUGUUUGGGAGGAGGAGGAAAACAAGAGAGGAGGGAAACAAGAUGUAUGCUUCUGCAAACACACUGGACUGGACAUUUAAUGGCUGAAUACAUGUCUGUGGCAGCUUCUGAUACAACGACACAAGCAUCGUCUCCACUGCAACUUAGCAGAAAAAAUAGAUGAAACAAAAAUCUCCUUCCCCACACAGUGUUACCAACAAAGAUAAGAGAAGGAAUCCCAGUGUGACCUUCCUACCUUUGUGGGCUGUGACACGAUGUUUUUAUAGGGAAAGGAAAAGCCAAAGAGGAAAGAACCAGCUGAGAUAUAAGUAUGGAUUGCUUUGACCCUUAGUGACAAUGAAAACACGCAUGAGGAUUCUGAGGACUGAAUGAGAAUUAGAAGAGGUUAAGAAUACUGGAAAGAAUUAGGUACUCAAUUCAGAAUAACAAGAAAGAUACUUGCAACAGACACAAGAUUUCUUCUUUUAAUCAAGCUACUCUUUGAGUAAAUUUUCAUUUUUAUUAAUUUGUAUACUAUAGCUCUCAUAUCAGAACCUUUAUAUUCCACAAAACCUUUUUAGACAGUAAGGGAUGAAGUAUGUAGUAGAUGCAAACUGAAGUAGACAAAUUCUGAACAAAGUCCUGUGUUCCCUUAACCUUACUAUUGUUUGUUUCCAAUAAGACCAAUGACUCAGAAGACCAAUCUCCAAAAUAUAAUGCUACUUAAACUAAUUGAUGACAUUUAAUGUGAAUACAAGGUUUUUUGUUCCUAUGAAGAUAAUUGCAUAAUUGUAUUAAUACAUGUAAUUAUACUUAAGUAUCAGAAUCUGGACUUUUUUUUUUCUAUUCCUUUCUUGACUUCUGUUGUCUCUGCAGCUUUUCCACUUCCUGCCCUGAUAAAAGAAUAGUUCCCAUUAUAGAAAUGCUCAUAAAACAUUGCUUUACUGUAUGCAAAUCAGCAAUGAAUCUUGGAUGCUCACAGGAAAGAACAAGACACCUAAACUGCGCUUAUGCUGUUACAGCACAUAAGUGCACUUUCAAGAAAAGUCUGUAGUUAUCCAAAGAGGGCUAGCUAAGUCCUCCUUUGUGUAGGAGACUGCUUGAAAAUGGGUAUUUUCCCUGCCCUUUACUUAGAUUGUUGAGGGCUCUGCCAGCACUAAAUGCAUUCAGUGGUCUCUCUCCUUUGGUUUGAAUUGUUCUGCAGGUUCUCAGGCAGCAGAAACAGAUCAGCUGGUAUUGCUGGUGACUGACUGUCUGAUAACCCUGAAAGCCAAAUUGGUGUCUGACAUGGAACACACAUUUUGUGUACAUGUCUAUAUGAAGAACAAAGUAGUUUAUCCCCAUGAUAAGCAAAAGAAAGAAAACCAGACUCGAAGUAUAGGCUGGGAUGCUUAGGAGAGGACGUCAGCCAGCACAUUGAAGCUCCUUACUAAAACUAGCCAUCGUGGCAUUCGGUCCAUGAAGCUGAGAUGGAUGAGGAGCUGCACAGCACACCAGAGCCUCUGGCUACAUCUCACUCACCAUCAGGAGAAUCAGGAUUGGACUGUGACUUGAACGAAGUCUGCAACUUGGUCGCAGGCUUGAAGGAGGCAGAGACUACUUGUCAUGUGCUUGCACAUAAGAAAGAUGAAAGAGAUAUUUACAGGUAUUGCCAGCCUGGAAAAUUUCAAUAAUAAAAUUGUACUCAAAUCAGUGAUUUAUUUUUUUUCUGUUAUAGUUGCUUAUUUGAUUGCCAUUUCCCUACUUCAAUGUGCAGAGAAUUUAGGGCAGGUUUGCAAAUUUACUUUGACACUACAAAGGCUAGAUUUUUUUGUUGUUGUUGAAUAAACCCUAAUGUAAAGAUUUUUAUGCAGUCACUGAACUCCAGGAACUAUAGAUUUAAGAAAGAUUUAUAGCACACUGGCUAUAAAAACUUAAAAAGUGGGAUAAGCAAAUGUUUUGCCUUUGUGUUUUCUCUCUUUUCAUAGCAGGUAGUCAAACUGAAAGGCAAAUCCUUAAAGCUCUGGAAUUAGUAAUAUACAAGUAACACUAUAAUCCUGUCAACAGUUUUAUCUUUUGCACAACUUCCUAGAUCAGCCAGGAAGUACUGUUUUAAGUUUUCUCCACAUUUUUAUUAUCAGCUGGGACAUAGAAAGUGAUGCAAAGGAGUAAGCAAGGGAACUUUACCUUUCAUAAAUUUGUUCCUUUCAAUAUCUGUGUAGCAUAGUGUGAGCAAUUUCAUAGAAAUUAUGUGUUUUUAAAGAAAAUAUUUUACUUCUGUCUUUAAUUAAUGUGUCCGAUUGUAAGUUGAGGUAGAACAUUCAUGUUACAAAUAAAACCAGAGUUGUAUUUACAGUAUUUGGUCUAGAUCUCAACUUUAUCACACCUAGGAACCAAAACAAGAACACACAGAGGAAAAGAAUAUUCUUUUUUCAUUUUUUUCUGGCAUCUUUUCCAAGA